rnacentral:rRNA from 1 species
GAUGAACGCUGGCGGCGUGCCUCAAACAUGCAAGUCGAGCGGGGCUAUGUAAUAUCGCAAGGUAGAACAUAGCCUAGCGGCGAACGGGUGAGUAACACGUGGGUAACCUGCCUGGAAGACAGGGAUAACGAUUCGAAAGGGUCGCUAAUACCUGAUAAUAUCCUUUCAUCGCAUGGUGAUAGGAAGAAAGGGGAAACCCGCUUUCAGAUGGGCCCGCGUCCCAUCAGCUAGUUGGUAAGGUAAAGGCUUACCAAGGCGACGACGGGUAGCCGGUCUGAGAGGAUGUACGGCCACACUGGGACUGAGAUACGGCCCAGACUCCUACGGGAGGCAGCAGUUGGGAAUCUUAGGCAAUGGACGAAAGUCUGACCUAGCGACGCCGCGUGAGGGAAGAAGGCCUUCGGGUUGUAAACCUCUGUCAUGGGGAAGAAGGAAGUGACGGUACCCCAAGAGGAAGCCCCUGCUAACUACGUG